UCCAGCUCUCCUGCAUUUCAGGCAGAUUUUUUACCAUCUGAACCAUCAGGGAAGCCUACAAAAAACAAAAAGGUAAAAAAAGGAUGAAUAGCAGAAGACCCAGGGGCUCAAGAAGGAGUCCUGGAGAAGCUGAAGUUCUGCAGCCAAUUCAAUCUGGGACAGGACCAUGUCCAUGGAGCCGGAUUCCCAGGUUAUUUGGCAUCUAACCUAACUGCCAGGGAGAAUGUGCUUCUGGUGGAACCAUCUCAAUUUAGGCAUCUGUAAAUGUGCUUUAUCAGCUCCACCCUCCCUCUACCCUUCGUUUCUAAGUCCUGUGAAAAGUCAGC
ensembl:lncRNA